GCAAUAAUCCGUAACAUGUAUUUACUAUGGAUUAAAAAUUGACAAAUAACAUCCUAACCUUCCAUUCUAAAAAUUAAGGGUUGUGAUUAAAAAAAACAUCUUGUCGUCCACUAGUCAUACUAGCGGUCUGGCCGAGCAAAUAUUGUGAAAUCGAAUUGGGGUUUGUGCUUUGGUUUUAUUCAUACUUAUUAUAUGGAGUAUAACUCUCUUGACGACAGUUUAUAUUCUUGUAUUUUUGUUUAAUAUUGUUGAGACCAGCUGCACGUUUUGAUUGGAAUAUUAUUAGCUGAUUCAGUAAACACCAUCUAAUACACACUUUGAAUCAAAACUGAGUUCAAGUGUGUUUCUAUUGUUCUGUUUGAUUUGCAUACAUCAAUUGUCAAAAAUGAACUCUACUUUUUCUAGCUACAACCAUUAAGUUUCUAGAAUUGGUACAAGAAUCAACCAUUGAUGCAAUCUUUAAAAGAAAUAAAAUCUCCUUGUUUCCUGCCAAAACUGGAAGUAUUGCUUCUCAAGUGGUGACUGGAGUCUCUCCUACUGUGGUAGUGGGAAGUAGAUUUUCAAGGGCCCAAUUUGGGAAUUCAUUUUUUCCUUCUAGUACAGCUGGGGUAAAGUUUAUAAACAACUCCUCCUUUGGUUUUUCCUGCAAAUGUGAAGAAGUUGACAGUUAAUAAAAAUCAGUCAAGAAAGGAGAAGGGGCUUUGUUUCGACUUGUAUAAGUCUGGGCAUAGAUGUCAAAACAAGCAACUUUUCAUGCUUCUUGGGGAUGAUGAAACCAAGGAGGAAGAAUUAGGGGAAGUUACAUAAAAUUGCUACCCAGAAAACUUACAAGGAGUGCGGGAAUCAGCAAUGCCAAUCGAUCUCUUUGCAUGCUUUAUAUGUAAAUACCUCUGCUACAACUGUGAAAAUCAAAGCAAUAGUGUAUAAUAAAUUGUGGCUGGUGCAUUGUUAAGACAAGAAAUUCUCUUUGUUUACAAGCUAUACUGCCAGUAAACCACUUUGGCUACAAGAGAUUGAUUUUACUUUUGCAAAUUGCAAAUGGUAUUCUGAGAAACAAUGGUCUGAUUAAUCUGGGAAAGGGUAAUGACAUCAGGAGAAGAAGCAUAUUUUCAAUUUUCCAUGACAGUUCCUUGGGUGGUUUCUCUGGGGUACAAGCUACACUAAAGAGACUCGAUAAAUAUUUUGUAUGGCCUGCAGGUAUGAUUGAAAAUAUAAGGAAAUGGACUGCUGAAUGUGACACUUGCCAAAGACAUAAAAGUGAGAACAUGCUUCCAGGGAUUCUACUGGGAUUGAUAUAUCCUUAGAUUUCAUUGAAGGAUUACCCAAGUCAGAAGGUAAUACAGUCAUUUUAGUGGGUUUUCUAAAUUUGGCUAUUUCAUUAGUAUGAAGCAUCCCUAUACUGUAAUCUUUGUGGUCAAACUCUUCAUUACCAACACUUAUAAAUUUAAUGGACUGCCUCGGACAAUUAUAAGCGAUAAAGACAAGAUUGUUCUUAGCACUUUCUGGCAGACAGUAUUUCAUAUUAUCAUUCCCAGUCUGAUGGACAGACUGAACGACUUUAUAAGUGUCUGGAAUGUUACUCAAGGUGCAUGUGUACUGAGCAGCCAAAGAAGUGGAACAGCUGGUUGGUUUUAGCUCAAUGGUGGUACAAAUACAAUAUUAAGUUUCCAAAUCACACAAGGAAAAUGAAUGUUCCUAUUGGUCCGAAAAGUAAGUCGGGUGUUUGAAGUUAUUUUUAUAUGAAGUUGUAUGAUUAUUUAAUUGCAAAACCAUUUGAUUUUGGUUAUAUAUUUUGAUUUAUCACUAUGGUUUAUUAUUUUUGUUGUAUAAUAUUUUAAUUUUUCAUUUAUAUGAUAAAUAAACUACAUAAUCUAUUAUUAAAAUAUUAUUUAUAAAUAAAAUAAUUACAAAACUAAAUAAUUUUCAAAUAUUGUUUACAAUAACAUUCUCUCUUUGGGAGGUAUUAGUUGAGUCGGACUCCUGAGUAAAUAACUUCUUCUAAAAUUCUCUUUCACUAGCGGGAUAAGAACUUAUUGAUGGUCUUUUACUGAGUUCCCUCUCAAUAUUAAGGGAAGGAGAUACCGGUGUAUGAGUCUGGAUUUGGGGGUUAACCGUUAACAUUUUGCGGUUGAGUUUCAUGGUAAACAUUAGCAGUACUAACAGGAUCGUCACUAGUCCCUUCGGCUUGAAAAUUUUCAAAAAUAAAUUCAAAUUUUGUAUGUUUUGUUGGUAACCCAAUUACGUAUGUCCAUACCUAAUAAUCAAUAAAUAUUUAAAAACUAAUUCAACAUCAAAAUAAAUCAAUAUACAAUAUGAAUAGUCAAGUGUAGUUAGCACCAACAAUAAACAAUCUCAAUUAAACCACUAACAAGUAACAAAUAACGUUACAAAAUAAAUUACAAAAUUUAAAGAAAAUUAAAAAUAGAUUAGAACACAUACUUGAAGAACUUUUAUUUGAUGGAGUUCUCUUCACUAUUGUUGUAGUAUUGCUUUAAGAAGUAAAAAGCCCUAAUUUUAUAAAAGUACAAACAAGAAGAAUCCAUAAACAAUUACAUAAAUUCCUAAAGUAAUUGUUAAAUUUGUAAAAUUAAAAUAUACUUUGGAAUUUGGAGACUUGGUUCACUAGACUACUUGGAAUUUGCAGAUCCGGAUCCUACUUGCUUCUGUUGAGAUUUGCGAUUUUGGAGAUUUGAAGACCUGUCGAGUUGGAGUUGUUGAGUGUUAGCUUUUGCUUUGUUCUCUCUGUUGCUGCUGAAUAGAUGAAAAGUUGGGCUACUGAUUGGUCCUUUAGUUUUUUAAGUCUAAAUGUCAAAUUUCACUUAAAACCCUCCUAAUUUUUUUUUUAAUAUGCCCCCCUGACCCCAUGAAAGUUCAGUGGGGUCAGGUGCCCCCUUCCCUGCUGUAGGUCCGCCCCUGCUGUCAUGAAUAUAUAUCGAUAAUGCUUGAACGGAACACUUGUCGGUAGUGGGUGGUCUAUUUAUAAAGACAAUGUCCCCAUCCAUAAUCCUCCUAUGUACCACUUGUCCAGGUCUUAAAAAUGUAUGACCUUUUGAACCUUCCCUCAAUGAGUAUGUAGACGACCCAUCCCUAUAUGUUAAGCACAAUUUUUCGUCAACCAGCUUCUGCAGAUAUGACAUAUUGUGCUGACUCACAUUCUCCUCAAAAGUAAUUCUCUGAGCUAUUUCAAAAGGCAAACCAAUUUCACCCACCCCUUUAUAUGGAUCACUAGUUAUAAUACUACGAGAGGAAAACCCAGAAGCUAAACAAAGUUCUCAUCUUCUCUAGCCAUACUUUUGUAGAAGAAUCAUUUGGUUCUCUUUUUAUCCCGAAACAUCCAUCCACAUCACGAGAUACCUUAUAAAAGAAAAUGUUUGAAUCAGCGAGAGGUAGGACAGUUGAUUAACAAACAUACUUAUAACUUGGAUGAUAUAACUUGUUGACUGAACUAUAAUAAUGUUUUAGCGGAAGGAAAAUUCGUGAGCAAUAUUAGAACUUCACUCAUAUUAGUUAAACCAAUUUUUGGACACUAUUUUUAGCUUAUAUGAAGCCGACGACUAAACUAGCUAAAUACCAGGUCAUCUUGUAGAACACAUUAUUGUUUGCCAUGUUUAUCCUUUUUGUUACUCUAUAUAGAAAAGGAAUAAUUUAUUAGAGAGAGAUCCAAUAGAGGAAUAUAAUCCUCCCCCCAAAAAAUAAACAAAUAAAAAACAAGAAAUUGUUACAAAGUCGUAAGGAAGGAUUUCUCCCAAGAGAUCCGGAAUAAAAACACCUCUAAAGUCCCAAAAACCAACAACCAAGAGAUGAAAGGGAAGAGAAUUUGUACGAUUAUAAGGAAGAAAUGGAGAAUUUUGUCGUUGAAGAUCCUAAUGUUCGUUUCAAUCCAACAACGCAACAAAAUAGCGAUACAAUUCUUUUCCCAAGUUAAACAAGCACUUGGCCACAAAAUCUUCCCCAGAAUCCCCAACCCCCAAAUAAAAAAUAAUAAUAAAUAUAUUUAAAAAAAGACUUGAUCUCUAAAAGAUUCUCCACUGACAAUAGCAAACCAAUAUAUGACACAUUCUCUUGGGACAAUCUAAUUAUACACUACAGUAAGUAAUACUAACACAUAGUUCCUCAAGUCAAGCAAAAUCUAAACCAUCUUGCCAACACACACUUUAUCAGAGAAAAUAAAUGCAUAUAACAAAAUGACAAUGAGUAAAUAAAAAUAUCAUUUGAAGAAGCAUUAAGGACCUUUCCUCUCAAAUUUGUGUGAGUGAUCCUACUCGUACACCAAGUAAAGUUUACCAAGUCGUACGAGUACCUUAGCAGUACCCCUAACUUGAAGAUACUGUGCAACUGCUGCUCGCAAAUCCUUAGCUUCAAUUUCAUGGGAUUCAAAAUUUGGUGUCCCAGACCUUGAACUUUUGAUAAUCUCGAUUUGUUUCAACACUUUCUUUAGAACUUCUAUAGAAUGAUCCAGGAUAGAUAUUAUUGAAAUAAUGGUCAAAAUAGAAACAGUACUAGAUCAAACCUAAGAGUCGUGUAUGAAAAGAAUGAUUAACUAAAGAAAUGACACUGUUCCAUCCAAGAUGUUCGCCACGGACAAACAGUUUGGAGGGACAUGUAAAUAUUGCAAGAUAUACCCAUCUUGAGCCAAGAAUCCUUUCUCAACAAGUUUUUUCCUAGUCUCAUUAGAAAUAUUUCUCAGAAUCACCAUGACCUGGUCAUUGUCGAGGGUAUAAAAAUUAAAUAACAAUGAGAAUGUUGAACUUGUAUCAAAUACAAAUAUUCUACAAUUUGGACUAAUCGAUAUAUAAAUUUAUACGCUUAGACCAAGACAACAUCCUGCUAGUCUCCUUCAAUUCAUAGGAUCGAAUGUCCAAAUGCAAAAAAUUCUUUUACCAAUAUCCAACCACCAGGACACGUAAUCUCAAAAUUAACAAAUGUUCACAUUUCUAAUCAAAGAAUAGGAGGCAGAGAAGUAGCAAUGCAAUACAAAGACGGUAUAGCGUUCUAAACUGAAACGAGGCUUCAAGUUUCAAUCUUAAACAUUAGGAGUUCAAACGAAACAGCUUGAGCUCAUAUAAAACUCGUUCGAAACUAAUUUAUUUAACAAAUGAACGAACUUAAUAAGUGAAGCUUGAGUAUGACAUGCUCAAUCAACUCUAUAAGGUUCGUGAGCAUGUCAUACUCAAGCUUCACUUAUUUAGUUUCACGAGCUUAUAUAUAUAUACAUAUAUAUAUAUAUAUAUAUGGAGCCGGAUCUUAGACGGACCAAAAUUACGGACCAAAAUGACGGACCUAUUAUUUUCUCUCUCCUCUUUCACUUACCAGUUACCGCAUACCGCGAAUAUUAGUUCUCUUCUCAUUUUUCAGCCAAAAAGUGAACGCUGCUUAUCUAGGUCGAAAGGGGCGAAGGAGUUCUGUGAGCUCAUAGCCAUGGUCGACCCCUGCUCUCGCUUUUUCAGACAUUCGUUAAGUUGGGUUCGAUUUGUCAAUUUCAGAGCUCCUCUCCCUUACCCAAUUCGGACAAAAGCCAUAAAUCUAGGGCGAAAGUAGCGAAGCCCCAAAUUCGGUGCAAGCCAACCCCCUUUCCCUCAUCCGAUUCGGUCGAAAGGAACGAAAUUGUGUUCGAUUUCUUCCCCUGCCACUGACCCGAAUCAGUUCAAGCAAUCCUAGAUAUUCGCGGUACUUCCUUUCCUCUGGUAAGCUUUUCUUAUUUGUUAGUCUUGUCUAUAGAAACCGUAAUUGCUGAUAGAAUCUUCUGCAGCAGUAUGAACUGAUCAUGGAUUUUGUGUGGGAUAAUAUAUUUACCCUGGUGUAUUUUCCAGAAAAUUUAUUUAUUGUAAUUGUAGGGUUUUUAUCUUUGGUAAUGAGUAAUUGAGAGUAAAUGUGCAUUGCAGAUUGAUGAGUUAAUAUAGUACAAAAGUAAUUGAAGCUAAAAAUCUAAUAACUUGGAUGUUGGAAACCUAUGUUCUCAACUGUUAUAAACUUGCACAAACUUUCAAGAACUGUUUCGCAUCAUUGUAAGUGGACAUCUGAGUUAUGCUCACUGUAUCAUGUCCACCAUUUAGUCUUGAAAACACAAGGGGAAUUUGAGAUAGUCUAAAAUUGUAUAAGAUAAUUGCUAAUUGUUGUUUUGAGAGGAGUCUUAAAAGAAAUAGUAUUUCCAACUCAUCUAAAGAAAAAAAGAAGGUUAAAUGUACUUUAUUUAUGCCUGCUACAUUAUUUCUGAGGUAAUGAUAAUACUCAUUUGUUCAAACUGGUUUUUUAUCUUUUUUUUUGUUCGUCACUGCAAUAUGCUUCUUCUUCUUUUAUAUAUCCAUUCAUGAUAUGCAUUUGUGGUGCCUGUGGCAUCCUACUUACAGUAGCAGAUUAGUGGUUUUGACAGGUCUGUUUAUGCACCAAUCCUUUUUGGCUUGUAUGGCAGGACCAAGUUCGCUAUUUCAUCGAAGAGGUACACUUUUAAUAGUACUAGACUAGCCUCAUCUCUAAGUAAAAUUCAGUUAUAAUUGAUGAUGUAUGCAACCAUUAUAGAGAUACUGCAUAUUCUUUUUGGAAAAGUGUUCCACUUUCUCUUUGUUGGUGAAAUUCAGUUAUAGUUGAUGAUGUAGCCUCAUCUUUGUUUGCAUUGCAGCUGUACAGGUAGCUUAAAAGAAUACAGAGAGAUGGAGUAUGAAAGAAACUGAAACAUUUGUGCGCGUGUAGUAUUUUGGGACGGCUGGGUUAUCUCAUUGUUGUUGCUGCUGCUGUUGGGAUGGCUGGGUUAAUUUUUGGUGUCCUAGUUACACUAAAUUAACAAUUGCUACCUCUUAUUCUCUAUUAUUGUGGAAUUUGUAUAAACAAUUGCUACCUCUUAUUCUCAAAUACAUUUUCCCUAGCAAUUAACAUGAUCUUUGGUAUUGUAUUGUGGGCAUGCCAGUUGAGCGGUUCCAUUACUCUUGGGUGUAUGUUUGGGUUCUUUUAUAUUAUUCUUGUGGUGGUAAAAUGACAACAGUGCCAUCAACGCAAUUGGUUAUAUGACACAACCACCCAUGUACAUUUUCCAUCUUAAAGUGUUUUGAUGUUUUACUUCACAGAAGUUGGUACUUUUUAGUAAUAUUUUUAUUAAAUAUUAAUGGCUGCAGAGGAAGGUGAGGAUUAAGCUAAGCUUAAUUACUGGGAUAAUUUACUACCAUUUGGGUGCACUGCUAAACCCCUGAAAACAAAGCUCUUGUGCCUCCCCUCCUAUGGAGUUUUGAACCCAUGACCUGUACAUUCUUUGCUACGAAAUUCCUUGACAAUCUUUGAGCAACAUUCUAAGUACAAAUCAGCAUUCCUUUGUAAACAAAGAAGAUUUCAAUUUUAUGUGCAAGUAAAUAGAAUAGAAGAGAUAUAUAAAAAAAUUGAAACCCUAACACACUUACUUUUCCAUAAUUCAGACAUGAUAAAAACCUUCUUCCUGGUUUGAAUCGGUCCAUGCUGUUUUAAGUUGCGGUCGCCUCUCACAAUCACAAUGUGCGUUCAUAGCUGCUCAAAUAAAAUGUAUUCAAACACGAAUAGAGUGAGAAAGUCUUUCUCAAACUCAAACACAAAUAGAGUUAAUUACUAAUAUAUGGAAUGCUAUACAUUAGCACCACUUUGUUGCAGCAAGUUACAAGUCGAAUUAGGUUUUUAUAGUUUUUUAGGGAUUCAUAUUGGUAUUGGCUUAGUCAAGGUCUUCUAUUGAUGUUGUUGAUACUUGAUAGCAUAGACAAAUUUCAUUUUUGGAACUCCACAUAGCGUUAUGCUCUUCUUUAUCAGCGGAAGAAAUUCACUAAUUAUGUAUUAGCAUGGUACCCAGGUGGUUCAAUUUUGUAAGCACAAAAGAGAAGGAGAUUUUUGACACAGUGCUCUGCCUUUAUAAUAGGAAUUAAGAUAAAAUUGGAAUGCAAACUUCACAUAAAAAGCUAUCCAAGGAGAUUACAUCAAUCAUACAGAUCACUCAUUCACAUCCUAAUAAAAUGAUGUCACAUUCAGGUACUUGUUUCUCAUUAAACCCACAGGAAUAAAUAUUAAAUGAGGCAACCACCAAAUUGAGCAUAUAAAAAGACAAACAACACUCACCAAGGCCAAAAGCAAAACAAACUAUUGACUUAAAGAAAUUUCAAAGGAAAAAUGUGCAUUGCAGCUUUUGUAUGGCAAGUUCAUCCUUUGUUCGAUUUAUCAGCGUUAUGCUCUUCUCCAUUUUACUCCUAAAGACUUCACUAUUAAACCACACAAAACAAACAUGCUCAAAAGGAAGGGGGAAUAAUCCUUGAAAACCAAAUGAAAAAAGAGACCCAAAUUACUAAAACACGAAAGCUGAAAAUGAGAGAGAAAUAAGAGGGGCUUGCACUUCGCUACUUUCGCCCUAGAUUAGCAUAUAUGUGAAACUCAUCAAAUUGAUUAAAAAAAAUCUCAUCAACAACACAUCCCCAAUUUGAAUCGAUAAAACAUUGAUAAAAAUUUCUUCAUUAGCAUCUCAUAUGAAAAUCAGUAUAAAAACUAAAAAUUGUUAAUUACCUGCGUAUUGGAUGUGAUUAGGGUCUGCGCACUAGAAGAAAAGGGGCAAAAGUGUAAAGGGGCAGUAGCGUUGAUGGAUCCGGCCUUCCGGCGUUUUGGCACUCAAACUAGUCAGAAUCGGGGAGAGAGAAUCAGCAGGAUUUGGGGAGAGAGAGGGAAUCGUAGCAUCUCAGUUUGUUUCCCCCUUUUUUUNNNNN
rnacentral:lncRNA from 1 species